GACGAACGCUGGCGGCGUGCUUAACACAUGCAAGUCGAGGGCACCUCGCAAGGGGGUGACCGGCGAACGGGUGCGUAACACGUGAGCGACCUUCCGUCUUCUGGGGGAUAGCCGGCCCAACGGCCGGGUAAUACCGCAUACGCUCUGUUGGGGGCAUCCCUAGCAGAGGAAACUUCCGGGGAGACGAGGGGCUCGCGGCCUAUCAGCUAGGUUGGGGGGUAACGCCUCCCAAGGCGACGACGGGUANCUGGUCNGAGAGGAUGGCCAGCCACAUUGGGACUGAGAGACGGCCCAGACUCCUACGGGAGGCAGCAGUGGGGAAUCUUGCGCAAUGGCCGAAAGGCUGACGCAGCGACGCCGCGUGUGGGAGGAAGCUCUUCGGGUGUAAACCACUGUUGCCCGGGACGAACACACUCUUUGAGAGUGCUGACGGUACCGGGUGAGGAAGCACCGGCUAACUCUGUGCCAGCA
rnacentral:rRNA from 1 species